AUUAAAAAAGUGGAAAAGAAACUGCUGGACAAAUAAUUUAGAUGGGAAUACAAAAGAGGGAGGUAUGAGGAAGUCCAGAAAAUAAGUAAUUUAAAAAUGGAAUGGAAAAGAGAGUUUGUUUUUAAUUGUUACUUUUUUGUUUUUUUUAUUGUUGAGUUUUGUAUUGCUUUUUGUGUGUGUUGUUUCUUUGUUGUUUAAAACUUUAAUAAAAAUUAUUUAAAACACUAACCCAGAAAUAGUACCUC